UACGAAGGGGGCUAGCGUUGCUCGGAAUCACUGGGCGUAAAGGGCGCGUAGGCGGCGUUUUAAGUCGGGGGUGAAAGCCUGUGGCUCAACCACAGAAUGGCCUUCGAUACUGGGACGCUUGAGUAUGGUAGAGGUUGGUGGAACUGCGAGUGUAGAGGUGAAAUUCGUAGAUAUUCGCAAGAACACCAGUGGCGAAGGCGGCUACCUGGACCAGCACUGACACUGAGGCACGAAAGCGUGGGGAGCAAACAGG
rnacentral:rRNA from 1 species